GGUGACGCGUGCGCCGGCCGGCCGCCGAGGGGCUACCGUUCUGCCUCCGACCGGUCGUGUGUGGGUUUACUCGGAGAAAUACUAGGCUUUAGAAUUUCACCAUAUGAAUUUUGGGAGAGAGGAGCACAGUUCAGCCCAUAACUAACACACGUGAUGAAGAAGACAUGCCAACAGAGGGUUAAUUCCAGAUAAAAUGAAAUGUUCCAAACAACGGAAUGAAGUUGAUAAUAGUGAGACCUUGUUGGUACAAGACUAUGUAACAUAACCUGCGCUUCUCAACAAAGAAUUGCUUUUCUGACUUCUGCACUCAAUAGCAAGACAAAUCUCUCCUCUGCCUUCUCCUUAUCAGACUACUCAACAUGAAGGCAAUAAGAAUGAAGACCUCUAUGUAUAAUAAUUGACUUCCACUUAAUAAAUACCUGAACAGAUGUUGAGUACAAGCUGAUCCACCUACGUUCAACCUGAGAGAGUCCACAUCCACAGACUGUUUCAUUUCCCUUUUUCAAUUUACAUAGAAGCAUAGAUUCUUGCUGGCAUAUACAAAUGCGCCAUUUAAGGCAAUCAAAAAUGGUUCCACAUCUCAUCUGAUUUCCACAAUUGUUGCUGUAACGAUGGACUACUGAGGAGAGAGACAAUUUCUCUGGCACAUCUUCCCACAUUUUAGCAACAUGUUCAUGGAGAGCCAAUAUUCAGUAAUUACAGCCCAAUUCCUCACAAUUUCACAAUUCGCUAACAAUAUGCAUUUUCACAAUGUAAAGCUGAUUUUCCUUUAACCAAAUCAAACAUGAAAAGAUAGCUGCAUGCAAUGGGCAAUCUAGAUCAUUAGAAGAUUGAUGUAAAAUUAGAGGACACUGAGACUGGAAUAGAUUGCAAACUUCAGGGAGCUCAGAAAACUUGUAAACUCUACAUUUUGAGGAAAUAUGUUGUCGAUGCUUUUGCAACUCUAUGCAGUAACUUAACAAAUAAAGCCUUAAAGUAACUUA
rnacentral:lncRNA from 1 species